CGGGGGUGACUCUACGGCCGCGAAAUUUGGGAGAGUCAAGAAGCCGGCUACUCCUUAGCGGGAGGGCUGGGACUCGAACUCUCAAUGCCAGGGCGGACCGCGCUCUCAGCGCAGCCUUGCAAGCGCCCCAAAGCACGUUGACUCGCCGCGCGGGAGAUGGCUGGGCGGCCCCUUCUUCUCAAGGGAACUUCAGACCUUGCGAUUUGAGACUACGGGGUGCUGCGCGGGGAGAGUACGGGCUGAACUUCCUUUGACCCGGACGGGGGGCCCCACGGGGCGCAAAGGUGCCCAGAGACCCUGGUGCAGACCGGGCUGAACUUGUGGAACCCAAACCGUCAGGGCCUCCGCCGGGGGGCAGGGGUAGAGGAAGCGGGUGAGGGGCAAAGGCAGCUUCCCCAGGAACGGUGCGGUAGUCUGAGAGCGCGCUUGACCCACUCUACACAGUUUUUAAAGAAGAGAUGGUGGUGGUGGUAGAGCUGGAAGACGGAGCGACAAUUGUCAGAAGAUAUCUUGCAAAAAUCCCCCUGCUUUUGCCUCCAAGUUUGGCAAGAAGCCAGGCAGCGUGAGCGAGCUUGUGGUCUUAAAGGCCGUAGCGUAUGAAGGCCAAGACGAGAACCCAGAGAUGCGCGGAGUCUUGCCCACACACGAAAUCACGUGCAGUCUUAGGUUUACAACUACAGGUUGACCAGUCUGCCAGGAUUUUGCCCAUUGGCUCUCCGAUGGAACUGAAGAAGAAGCACUUCCUAUGUCUGAACCAUAGAACACUCAUACGCGGACUAAGAACAAAACAAAAUCCUCACCACUAAUGGAAGCCUCAAACCAAAGGAACCAGAAACCAAACAGAAACCAAAAACCAAACAGCACAAGACUCAAAUCAGCUUCCAAGUCUCAACUUAGCCUGUGACCUCUGUCCAAGUGGUGCACCUUCCAAAUGAGAUUUCCUGGAAUGAAAAGUCACCCAAAUGGGAACCAAAGUUCCCCCAAAUGUACAGGGCUUAAAGGACCUCAGAGUGCAUGCCAGGGGAGUUACCACAUGCUGGCUGAGGUAUCGCAACAUCCUAAAUGCUACUUUUCUGGUUCCCCAAAAUAAUCCCUUGGAGUAGGACAUUCAGGGCAGCCCAGGCAGGAGGAAGCAGGAACAUCCUCAAGGCAAAGAUGGCCUUGGCAGUUGCUAGGGUGGUCCCUCUUCCACCAUCUUCUCCUGCCCCAGAGUUCCAACUGCUGGGAUGGCAGAUGGGGUAUGACUGGGGCUUGGCCUCUCCAGGCAAGGGUCCCAGGCAGUCUGGCCUCUAAAGGAAUUCUCCAACCCUACACUCUCUCAAAAGAGGCUGGCAUGGAGAAAAUCAGAAGUGUCCAAUCAAGUCAGGGGACCCACAGGGGCCUUCCCCAAGUCAGCCCCAUAGUGGGUACUAAACUUGAUGCCGAAAACUCGACCUCUGUGCACCAGUGCCAAAUCGAAUCUCAGAGACAGAGGUUUGGAAGAAGUAGAAAAGAAUAGCUUUACUGCUUUGCCAGCCACAGGGGGACACAGAAAACUCGUGUCCUCAUAAACUGUGUGUCCCAAUGCAGGAGGAUCUGGUGAGGAGUUUUACAGCAAUGGUUUAAGGACACAGUUGCUCCUAAGGAUUAGUGUGUGUACAGGGCCUUAACUCCCUUUAAUCUGGCCUCAGAUGGUCUCUUGAUGAGCUUCUCUGGAAUGAAGAAUGCUAAAAUCUUCUAUUUUGUGGGGGUUUUAGUUUGGUAAGGAGCCCAAAGAUACUCUUAUGUACAUCCCUUUAAGGCCCUGAGGCUGUCCUUAACAAAGGCCCUCAACUUACCUUUAACUGAGGCCCUGACACUAACUAAGGACUGAGGCUGUCUCUAACUAAGGCCCUGAGUCUGUCUUUAACUAAUGGCCUCACUCUUUCCCUAACUAAGGCCCUGACACGGCCCCUAAUAACAUGAGCUGUCCCUCAUUAAUGCCCUGAUGCGGCCCAUAACUGAUGUACUGAAGAUGGCAUUAAGGUCCUAACCAUGUCACUAAUGACCCCAAAUGUCUCUUACUAAGGCCCUCAAGUUACCUCUGAGGCCCUAAAGAUGUCCAUAACUAAGUCCCUGACACUAUCUCUAAGACCCUCAAGUUAUCUUUAACUGAGGCCAUGACAAUGUCCCUAACAAAGGACUUGAUGCUGUCUCUAACUAAGGCCCUGAGUCUGUCUUUACCUAAUGGCCUCACUCUUCCCCUAACCAAGGCCCUGACACUCUUCUUAACUAAGGACUUGCCGCUGUCCCUACCUAAAACCCCGACACUGUCUGUAACUAAAGACCUGACUCCUUCCCUAACUAACACCCUAGUUUUGGCCCUAACUAAUGCCCUGACACUGAUUCUAAUUAUGGCCAUGAUGCU